UGUAUGAUGUCUCAUACAUGUGACAUAUUGCAAGAGGCUAAUGAAAAUGGGGAAAAAAAUUAAAAAAAAGAAUGCAUUGCAAGUCAGCAUAUUGCAAAAAUGCUUGGAAAAAAAAGAAAUAAAGGCAAAAUAACAAAAUAUGAAAAUGUGUGAAAACCUUUGGUUAUCAUGUUUUCUGGACACUUACCUGCACAAUACUGUAUUUGUUAACUGAAACUGACACAGUUGUAAAUGUUGAGAGAGAAAUAAAAAAUUAAUCUAAU
rnacentral:misc_RNA from 1 species